rnacentral:rRNA from 1 species
GACGAACGCUGGCGGCGUGCUUAACACAUGCAAGUCGAACGAAGUGGCGAACGGGUGAGUAACGCGUAAUCAACCUGCCCUUCAGAGGGGGACAACAGUUGGAAACGACUGCUAAUACCGCAUACUGAAGGUGGGGAUUGCGUCUGGUUAGCUAGUUGGAGGGGUAACGGCCCACAAAGGCGAUGAUCAGUAGACGGGCUGGAAAGAAGAAUGGUAAAAAUGGGAAUGAGACAAGGCCCAGAAUCCGAAGGGAGGAAACAAUGGGGAAACUUCGGCAAAGGAGGAAAGUCUGACGGAGCAAGUCCGCGUGAGGUAUGAAGGGCUUCGGGUUGUAAAGCUCUUUUAAUCGGGACGCGGUACCAGAAUAGAAGGCCACGGCUAACUACGUGCCAGCAGCCGCGGUAAUUC